CCUUGGUCUUCAUGGCAGUGUUUGGUUAGUAGUGCCUCUUGCUUACGUGUUGCAGCCUCUGGGGCCUUUCAUAAAAGGUGUGUAUAUGUAAUGACAGAUCAUGUGACACUUAGAUUGCACACAGGUGGACAUCAUUUCACAAAUUAUGUGACUUCUGAAGGUAAUUGGUUGCACAAGAGCUUUUUAUGGGCUUCAUAGCAAAGGGGGUGAAUAC